UACGUGGGUGGCAAGCGUUGUCCGGAAUUAUUGGGCGUAAAGCGCGCGCAGGCGGUCCUUUAAGUCUGAUGUGAAAGCCCACGGCUCAACCGUGGAGGGUCAUUGGAAACUGGGGGACUUGAGUGCAGGAGAGAAAAGUGGGAAUUCCACGUGUAGCGGAUGAAAUGCGUAGAGAUGUGGAGGAACACCAGUGGCGAAGGCGACUUUUUGGCCUGUAACUGACGCUGACGCGCGAAAGCG
rnacentral:rRNA from 1 species